rnacentral:rRNA from 1 species
GAGUUUGAUCCUGGCUCAGGAUUAACGCUGGCGGCGUGCCUAAUACAUGCAAGUCGAACGGAAGUACCUUCGGGUACUUUAGUGGCGAACGGGUGAGUAAUACAUAGGUAACCUACCCUUAAGACGAGGAUAGCCAUUGGAAACGAUGGAUAAAACUGGAUAGGAUAUAGAGGAAGAAUCUUUUAUAUUUAAAAGAGAGAUCUGCUUAAGGAGGGGCCUGUGGCGCAUUAGCUAGUUGGUGGGGUAAGGGCCUACCAAGGCGAUGAUGCGUAGCCGGACUGAGAGGUUGAACAGCCACAAUGGAACUGAGAACGGUCCAUACUCCUACGGGAGGCAGCAGUAGGGAAUUUUCGGCAAUGGGGGGAACCCUGACCGAGCAACGCCGCGUGAACGAAGAAGUUAUUCGUAAUGUAAAGUUCUUUUAUCAGGGAAGAAAGAGGAAUUGACGGUACCUGAGGAAUAG